CGGAAUUGGCGGCGUGCCUAAUACAUGCAAGUCGAGCGGAGUUUUGAAAAGCUUGCUUUUCAAAACUUAGCGGCGGACGGGUGAGUAACACGUGGGCAACCUGCCCUUGAGACGGGGAUAACUCCGGGAAACCGGAGCUAAUACCGGAUAACACAUAUCUUCGCAUGAGGAUAUGUUAGAAGGUGGCUUUUAGCUACCACUCAAGGAUGGGCCCGCGGCGCAUUAGCUAGUUGGUGAGGUAACGGCUCACCAAGGCGACGAUGCGUAGCCGACCUGAGAGGGUGAUCGGCCACACUGGGACUGAGACACGGCCCAGACUCCUACGGGAGGCAGCAGUAGGGAAUCUUCCGCAAUGGACGAAAGUCUGACGGAGCAACGCCGCGUGAGUGAUGAAGGUUUUCGGAUCGUAAAGCUCCUGUUGUAGGGGAAGAACAAGUACCUUGUUAAAUAAGCAGGUACCUUGACGGUACCUACCCAGAAAGCCACGGCUAACUACGUGCCAGCAGCCGCGGUAAUACGUAGGGGGCAAGCGUUGUCCGGAAUUAUUGGGCGUAAAGCGCGCGCAGGCGGUUCCUUAAGUCUGAUGUGAAAGCCCACGGCUCAACCGUGGAGGGUCAUUGGAAACUGGGGAACUUGAGUGCAGAAGAACAGAGCGGAAUUCCACGUGUAGCGGUGAAAUGCGUAGAGAUGU
rnacentral:rRNA from 2 species